UAAUUUUUUGGGAUUACUAGCAAAACCCAAACCUCCAAAAAUUCUUAAUCUCGAAUUAAUUAUAUUUUUUUUAUCGUCGAUUUAUUAUUUAUUACAAAUUAUAUAAACUGUUAUAUAGUCGAUUAUACUACGAACAAUUCCUUCCAACCGUUAUUAGAUCUACGACAGCCGCCACCACCUUUUCUUUUUUCAUGCUUUUGAUGGACAUUUUUUCAACAAUUUUUUUUGCGUAGAAUCCUAACAAGCAGUUAUAAUUGUACAUCGUUGGAAAUCUCUUACAUACUUACUUCCAUUAAUCUGCAAAUCAGCUAAUAAAUUUCUAUCGUCGAAGCUUUUUGUAGGUAUACGUUUUUUUAUUUCUCUCACUUU
rnacentral:sRNA from 1 species